AAUAGUCAAUUGAAUCGCCACCUGAAAAUAUUUGCAUUUUUAUGGACGACAAUUGUUUGCGUUACUAUCACUAUUAGGCACGGAUAUAUUGACGGUAUAUAGUACACAGUAUUUAUGCAACGUUUUAAGAAGUUCAAAGACCAUGAAAGGGGAGUUAAUGUAGAAAGGUGUGCUAAACGGGGCACCUAAUGUUCAUUUUUACCCCUUUCAAAAUCUUUUAAAUUUUUUCAUGACACUUUCCACAUUAUGCAACAGUGAAUCAUAUCAUUUAGGUCAGAUUAAGUAUCUUAGAAAUGUCGCUUCUCUUCAUAUUCACGAUGAAUGACUAUGAACAAAUGGUCAUAGAAUUAUAGAACUGAUUUCUAAAGGAAAUCCAUGGAUCCAACCAACUGUAUGGAUGGAGAUUAUAAUCAUCAUCCAGAAGAUGAAAAGAAAAGUGCCCAGGGAUUUUGCUUGAUGGACUGACAUUCAAAGGGACGUGCAGAGAAAUGUCAGUUUGAAUAAGACUGCCUUCAUGUUUACCUGGCUACUGUUUCCGGCUGUACCUUAGAAGAGUCUUUGAAGCGGUGAUUUUCCUGAAGUUCCAAAUAAAGAGAACGACGGUGGUUUUACAAGGGACCAAAACGAAAUUUAAAUUCCACUGAUUUCCUGUGCUUGGGAAACGAUACGAAGACUUCUAAAUAAGAUAUGGUUUGAGCCACUUAGGUUUACGGAGACUUAUCCAAGUCGAAGCCCGCCGCAUUCAAAAUGAUGACAGAAUGACAAAGAACAGUUCAUCCGUAGGCUGAGUGAGUCACACUUUCUCAUCACAGAAGCUACUACGUGGGAGUCCAUCAGGCAUUUGGGGAAAUUAUACCUACCGCCUACCUGAAGAUUUAAUAAUGAAAUGAACUAA